rnacentral:lncRNA from 1 species
GAUGAGAGAAAAUGCUAUGUUUAUUUAAAUAAUAUUGAUAAUGAAAUACUAAUAAAGCAGUAAAGGACGAAGAGUGACUCUGGUUUUGGCCAGAAAGAGGUAGACGCCAUAAUCACCAGGAAUGGACAGUAACUGGUUCCAGAUUUCAGAUGCGUGACACUGAGUGUGGGCUUGUGUUCCAUGAUAACACAUCAGGAUCAAUAGUUUUACAUGUUCAAAUGAUAGAGAGAAAUUCAUUAGAUAUAACAUUCUAUAAUUACAGUCAUGCAUCAAAU